AGAGCAAAGCAGUGGAGUGGGGUGUUGAAGUGCCAGUGGGGCCAGGCUUGGUUCAGUGGAGGCUGCAGGGAACAGCAGACCUUCAUGGAAGUUGUGCUGCACCAGAAACUGUGAGCAUUGGAGACAUUGCUAGUAAGGACAAGACAGACUUUGAAGCAAUUCUGCAGAAGUGGAACUGCAUACAUGUGCUCUUACCAACACCAUACACUGGCUGUGGGGAAAGCUUUUGCUUUUUACAGCUUCUCAUGUACAGG